UAUUUUAUUGUGUACUCCACGUGUUUUUGUUUUCCACCAAUAGCUACGUAUUAUUAUUAUUAUUAUUUCUUUACUUUCAAUUCCCUUUUAUUUUAUUGUGUACUCCACGUGUUUUUGUUUUCCACCAAUAGCUACGCUUCUUCUUCUCUUCCCAAUCACCACCACCACCAAAAACUUCCAGCCACCAUUACUCCACCGUCCGACGUUGUAUGAUCACACUACCACCACCAUUGAAAUCCUCUCUCCUUCCUCUUCAAAAACACCCUAUUAUUUCUAUAUCGGUGAGGUUUCAAAAACCCCAACCACCACCUUCUCUCUUACUUUCCAGCCACCAUGGACCACCAUCUGAAAAACUAGACGCACCGUAUUUUUCCUUGUGAUGUUCGAAAAAAAAUCCCUAAACUUAAUUCUUGAUCGAAACAUUUUCACCUGCGACCACCGUGCUGGAGCUAACCUCCACCGCGUCGAGAAUCGUAUCCUUCGUGCCGAAAAACGUGAUUGCGACCAUUUCACAUCCUUUCCUUCUUUUUGGUGAGUUUCAUUGUCUCUAAAUUAAAUUUUAAGAAAUUUAAUUAUGGCUUAAAUGCUCUUUUGGUCCCUUAACUAUUUAAUUGGUAUCGCUUUGGUCCCUUAACUAAAAAAAAGAUUGUUUGAGGAUUUUAAGUUUUUUUUUAGUCUCGUUUUGGUCCCUUCUGUUAGGUUUCUGUUAGUUUUAAUAAAAAACGUUAAGUGUGGACACGUGUCACCUUGACAUUGGCUCUGAGAUUUUUUUUNCCCUUCUGUUAGGUUUCUGUUAGUUUUAAUAAAAAACGUUAAGUGUGGACACGUGUCACCUUGACAUUGGCUCUGAGAUUUUUUUUUUUUUAUAAAAAAAAAAAUUUAAUUUUUUUUAAAUAUAUAUAAAUUUAAUUUUUUUGUAAAAAAUUCCCAGAACCAAUGACAAGGUGACACGUGUUAACUCUUGGACACGUGUCACUUUGUCAUUGGCUUUGGGAUUUUUAAAAAAAUAUAUAUUUUAAAAAUAAUAAUAAUUUUUUUUUGUUAAAAAAAAAACUCAGAGCCAAUGACAAGGUGACACGUGUCCAGGAGUUAACCUUUUUUUAAACUCUAACGGAAACCUAACAGAAGGGACCAAAACGAGACUAAAAAAGAAUUUAAAAUCCUCAAACAAUCUUUUUUUUAGUUAAGGGACCAAAGCGAUACCAAUUAAAUAGUUAUGGAUCAAGAACAAAUUUAAACCUUUAAUUAUUUAUUUCCGGAUUUUGUGGAAAUGCAUAAAAUUAGACAUGUUGAUUUUGUCAAAUUGUUUAUUUUAAGCUUCUUACUAAAACCUCAACAGAUAUAUUAGACUUGGUGUCACUGUACACUUGAAUU
rnacentral:lncRNA from 1 species